UUGAGAUAUACCUGAUGUACCGUAUUUUAUGUUUCAGGUAUACAACAUAGUGAGUCACAGUUUUAAAGUUUAUAUUCCAUUUUGUAGUUAUUAUAAAAUAUUGGCUAUAUUCCCUGUGCUGAACAAUAUGUCCUUACGGCUCAUUUUAUCCAUGGUAGUCUGUCUCCUAAUCCCCUCCCCUAAUCUUGCCCCCCCUUCCCUCUCCCCACUGCUAACCACUAGUUUGCUCUCUAUAUCUGAGUCAGUUUUGUUUGUAUGUUCACGGAUUUGUUUUAACUUUUAGAUUCCAUGUGUAAGUGAUUGCAUACAGUAUUUAUCUUCCUCUGCCUGACUUACUUCACUAAACAAACCACCCUCUACAUCUACCCAUGUUGCUGCAAAUGGCAAGUUUUCAUCUUUUUGUGGCGGAAUACUUUAUGUCGAGUGUGUCUGUGCACCCAGAUCUUAUCCAAGCAUCUGUGGAUGGACACUUAGGGCGUGUCCAUAUCCUGGCAUUGUAAAUACUGUGGCUGUGAACUUCAGGAUACACGUGUCUUUUCAAAUUAGUGUGUUCGUUUUCUUCAGAUAGAUACGCAGGAGUGGAACUGCGGCAUCCUACGGCAGUUCUGUUUUGAGUUUUUUGAGGAAGUGCUUCAUUCCUUUUCACCCAUUGUGGAAGAUGGACCACCUUUCAUUUAUCUAUUCACCCGCAGACGCACCCAGGGAGGAUUUUAGUAUCAGCCUGAGCUGAACUUGAAAAGAAUAGACAAGGAAUAACAUUCUCUAUCUCCCGAUCCGGUCACUAUUUGGUACCUGGGCCAGAAGAGUAGGCACCGCUCUGAGCCUCCUAAUUCGUGCUGAACUUGGUCAGCCUGGGCCCUUGCUCAGUGAUGCUCAGAUUUGUCAUGUAAUUGUCACAGCCCAUGCCUUUGUCAUAAUUUUCUUCAUAGUCAUAAAAUGCUAGAAGAAAGCUCGUGACGGUUAUAAGGAGGGAUGUUCAUUUUAGGUAGUGAGGCAUAGUUCUGUGUGGGGCUGUUAUUGGGGGAAUGUUGUUAGAGGUGAAGAAUCUGGGUAGAAUGCUUCUGAUUAGGAGACAUUUGAUGGAAUUAAUUAAAAAUGUGACAGGAGUUCCCGUCGUCAUGGUACAGUGGUUAACCUAUCCGACCAGGAACCAUGAGGUUGCGGGUUCGAUCCCUGCCCUUGCUCAGUGGGUUAAGGAUCCGGCAUUGCCGUGAGCUGUGGUGUAGGUCACAGACGCGGCUCAGAUCCCGCGUUGCUGUGGCUCUGGUGUAGGCAGGGGGCUACAGGUCCGAUUUGACCCCUAGCCUGGGAACCUCCAUAUGCUGCGGGAGCGGCCCUAGAAAAAGGCAAAAAGACAAAAAAAAAAAAAAGUGACAAAAUCAGGGAUUGAGGAAGAUUACUGGGGAGGCCUGCAAAGAUGAGAUGCGCAGGGAGGCAGAAAUGGGGUGUGAUGGACUCUGGCGCUUCCUUCUGCUAAUGGAAGAGAAAUGUCAAGGUCACCCAGGACAUCCUUAUGCGAGGGCUAAACCUGACCUCUGUCUGCAGCGCUGACCAUGAAGCCAUAAAACCACAGGCUGAAAAGAGCUCUUGUUCCGGGAGGUGGGAGAGAGCCCCAGCGUGGUUUCAACAUCGUCUCCUAGUUCUCCCUGAAGCUCUGUUGAGAAGCACAUACCGCCCUCCUUCCUGGAAUGUGCGUGACUGGUCGCUGCCCUGGCACAGCCAUCUGCCAAAUCCUGUUGUUCAGGAAGUGAAUGAUGCCCUUGUCCUCGUUGGUAAUGGCCCGUGUUGUACAAAGGCCCUUUGCUGCAUGUGGGGGGCGGGCAGGGGUGCCCUGUCCAGGCACCUGUGAGCCACACUGACAAUGAGCUCUCUCAGCCCAGCCAGGGUGGGAGCCCUGGGGUGCAGCCUGUCCCUGCUCAUCCAGUGCUGCCUCCAAGCAGGAGCAUCCAGGGACAAAGCCACAAAGAGGCCAGGAAGCAGAGGAGCAGGGGCUGUGUCCUCUGCAGGCAGGGGGGGGGGCGGGCAGAGGGGCUGUGCUGACACAUCAGGCUUCCUUAGAUUUGGGCAGGGCUUGCCAGCUGUCGGACAGGCACCUCCAUCCACACAGGGGCAUCCUCCCUGCUCCGGACCCCCCCCCGCACCAGCAUUCCUUCCACCACACUUUCAUCCCCGCCCUCCCCGUUCCUGGUGGUGGCUGUCCAGUUGAGCCCUGCUUUCCUCUGAUCCCCUCGUCCUUGCACUUGAGUUUCUCAAGGAGAGGAAGGGAGAGUGAGAGAAAGGAAAGCAAACAGAAACGGGUGUAGUUGGGGCCAGGAGGGCUGAUGAAGGCAAAUACAGACAAAAAUGUGGAAAUUUCCUGGGGGUAUGUUGUCAUCAGCACACAUGUGUGGGCAGACUGCCUGGGAUUGAGUCCUGGCCUUGCUAUUUAGGAGCUGUGUGAUCCAGGAUAAGUUGCUUAACCUCUCUGUGCCUCAGUUUCCUCAGUAAAAACGGUGGUUGAUAGUACAUAGCUCCUGGGUUGUGAGGGUGACAUUAGUUAGUGUGUAUUUGGUUUUAGAACAGAGGGUGGCUCACAUCAAUGACCUAACAUGGUAGCUGUUUUGUGCCAGUGUUUGUGUACUAUUCUCACGAUGGUACCCACACAAGUCCCAGCUGUCACCCACACAAGCCCCGGCUCUCUGCCCUGAGCAGGCAUCCUGCUCACCUCACAGCCCCAGAGACUGCUUUGUUCCCUGUUAAGGGACAGCCAGGACCCUGGGAGGCUGGGGGUAAUAACUGGGUGAGGGGUUUAUACCCUCUGUUGUUUUGCUUGGGGCAGAAGGAAUUGAUGACAUCCAGUCAUGACCUGAUUUUAUGGUUCUGAGAUGGUGGGAGACAAGCUCCAUGACCUAUAAACCCAGAGGGCACUUGACAAAGGGGUGAGCAUCGUAGGAGGCCAGCGGGCUCCUUCCUCCAGACAUAUCUGUGCUGAGCUCAGAGAAAGGGGCUCUGGAAUGGGGUGUGUCCUGGCCCAGAGUCACAGUCCCGUUCUCUGGACCCCACCUGCCGCCUGGGGAUUAGGUGCCGGCUCAGUGUUUUGGGUCCCACACAGGGGACUUUCCAAGGGUCUCCUGUAACAAGCGCCAGGCCAUCCACCGGUAAGGGGUGAUGUCGUGAAGCCCCGCAGAGGGCGACCACAGCCUUCAGCUCUGUACUUAACCUCCUGCCAUCAGCCUGGUAGACACAGGACAGGGUCCCUUCCCCAGGGCGAGUUUACAUUGACUCUGCAGGGCCAGCCUCACAAGCUGGCCGCCGUGGUACCUCCUGUUGGGAGGGGGGAGGGAUGAGGAGGAGGCUUUGUGGCUGAGGAGGGACCGGCGCUAAAGGAGGAAGACGAAGGUGGAGGAUGGGGAGUGGGUGUGAUUGUCCAGACCGGGUGACAAGACCAGAUUAGGGCGAUGGCAGAAGCGGCGCCUUGGGCUAUGACGGGGAGGGUCCAACUGCACUCAGGACAGCCUUGAAGUCCCGGCUGAACCACCGGCCUGACUCUAGAGGAAAUGCGUGGACUUAGGUGGGAAGGCACACAGACUCGUCCUCCAGCUACAGCCCAGCUGGGACACUUUCCCGGGUGGAGAGAGAGGGCGGGGGCAGCUCAGACAAGUGAAGAGACAGAACCAAGCCUGUCCCGCCGGCCCGGUCGCUAAACCAAAUACUCGCGAUGGGGAUGAUUGGUUAGGUUCUCUAGUUCUUCUAGUCUCCUAAUCCUCGGGGCUCGGGCACGGAUAAUCCAGGGCUACGUACACAUGAGUCUUCACAAGGCUGCACAAGAUCACAGUCUUGUCAGGAGGAGAAACUGAGGCUCUGGUUUAGGAGCUGCCCUCGAAUCACCAUGGAGCAGGACUGAGCGUGGGCUGCCCGCCCCUCCGCCCAGCCACCCGGCUUCUAAAUCUGGGUCUUUUCCCGCGUCUGAUCCAGAGAGGAGGGAAGGAUGUACCAAGACAGGGUCUUUGGACAGACAGCCGUUUCAAUAGCUCCUCCUUAGAGCUGGGGUGGGAAUGCCUCUCCCCCCACAUGCCUUCAGCCUAUUGGUGAGCGGGGAGCUGGAGCAAGUGUGAGGAUGUAGCCGGUUUAGAAGGAAAUAGCUUAAUCCUUGCGUGGGAUGGAGGAGGCAGGAAGGAGGGAGAUGUGAACCUGAGACCCGGGGCGUGUGACUGCGCCGUGGAAGCCUAAGGGUGUGAUGACCCUGCUGCCUGCCUCUCUCAGGGGGAUCGCCUUUGCUAACUGUGGGGGGCAGGGCGUAGGGCCCUAAUGGGGGACAGGGCCUCCCGGUGGGGGCUGACCCCUCUGACUUUGUCCCCCCACUCGGAAGCCACCACCCUUGUCGUUUGCCCUCUGAGAGUCCUCCUCCCUUGGGCCGCCCCCUGCCCUCUGUCCCUGGGGCCGUGACAUUGGCAGGGUGCCCAGCGGGGCAAAGACGGCAGCUGCAGGUCCUAGUCCCCAGUACGUGUGUGAGUGUGAAUGCGAGUGGGUUGGGAUGGGGGAGCGGCGGGGCUGGGAUCAUCCGCAGAUCAGAGCUCGGGAGUAGAGAGCUUCUAGCGGGUGGGGCCGCCCUACACGCUGGAGCCCGAGGACCUGCCCCUGGGACCACCACCAGCCUCAACACCCCUGGAGGCCAGAGCACGUCGGACAGGCACUGACCAGAGGAGCCUGGGAGGAGCUGUGGGGGUGAGUCAAACUUGGGACGGACUGGGUGUGGCUGGGCUGGGCGAGAUGGGGAGAAGCCAGGGAUGGAAAAGAGCUGCAGGUGGAGCAAGAAGAGGAGGGAAACGGGAGAGCAUCCUGCCUCAGCCCUUGUUGCUGCACAGUAGCCUCGCCCCUUUCCCGGGCCCUGCCACCAGGGGGCGCUGCGGGGGGGGCUGCCAAGCAGAGCCGCAAAGGUGUGAGAUGGAGGCAGAGUUACGGCCUUGUGGGCCCCAAAGGGGACGGUGGAUGGUCACCCCGUGUCCAGCGGCAGGACAGUGGGGCUCCCAGCCCAGGGUCCGGGUUCCUAGACCCUCCGCUCCUGCUGUCGGGGAGGGAGGAGCAGGCAGAGGGAGCUGAUCUGCCCAAGACCGCAGUGUGGCCUUUACCCCUGGGUGCCCACCAUGGCCCAGGCCCUGGAGAAGCUCUGGAAUAAAUACCUGUAGGCCUUAGAAAAGGGAGGUAGGAGGUGGUGUCACCUGAUAGUGGCUUUCCUUUGUCUAUUCCACCAGACAGAUGCCCGUCGUUUGGAGCAAGAGGAGAUGGUGACCAGCAGAGCCCCGGGAGCUGCCAGGGAGGGCUGGGUGGCAGGUGGGCCUGGUGGCCAGCUCCACUGCCCCCUUUCUUCUUGCUUUGCCAGACCUGAGGACCCAUUCCUGGUUCCUGGUACGCUCGCUGCUGCCUGUCACCCUCCUCUGGGCCUUCGACCUCCUCCUGGUGGUGGAGGGCCCCCGUCUCAUGUCCCAUGAGGAGCCUUUGAGGCUGGCAGGACCCCUGGCUGCCUACAACCUGGGCCUGAUGGUUCUCUCGGGGCACAUGUUCUAUGAGGUAAGGGCCCUGCAGAGUCCUAGGCUCUCUUUUUUUGGGGGGGGGUGACAGGGGAUAAAUAAAACCAUAAUCUUGCUAUGCAGAAAAGCUUUGAUGAGGACCCAUGGGGACCAGAGGCCAGGCCAUUUUGGGCUGCACUGUCUUCCUGGUGGAGACAGAAACCCCCGUCCCCUCACUCCCAUUCUCCUUUUCCUUUAAUGAAGAAAUAAGGGUCAGUGGCAAGCGAGAACGGAGUCCAUUCUCCACCUCACACCUAAAAGAACCCUCCACCCCCUCCUGGUUCUGCCUGGCCCAGUUUUCUGAGCCCUAAACCCAGUGAUCUUUCCAGAAGCCUUGCUUGCAGCCAACAGUCCAUCAGCCGGUGUGCACUGGGCAUGCGCCUUGUGCCAGGCGGGCCGAAUCCACAGGAUGACCGCUGGGUAAGGCACCCCGCCCUCCAGGUGCCCACGAUCUAGGGGGAGAUAGAUGGCGGAAACAGGAGGUUAGGAGAGGUGAGAGGAGGGGACAGGGCAGGCAGGAGAGGCAGGGCCCCAGCUGGGGUGUCAGGAAAGCCCCCCAGAGAAAGUGGUUCCGGUGGCCGGUGUGUAAAGUGGUCAUUGUGGCGGCGCAGGGCCUACACCCUUUGUGAAGAUCUGCUCAUGUCGUCCUCUGUCACGGUCGUGAGGCACAGGGCAGGUAGGUACCUUGGCAGGUGGCAGAGCGCCCUGGCCUCAGAUCUCACCUCCAUCCCGCCCGGCUCGGUGCCGCAGGAACCAGCAGGUGGUCCAGCCUGAGGAAGCAGGUCCUGACAGCUAAGUCCCCUUCACCGCCUCUCCCUUAGUGGCCUGCCUCCCUUCCUCCUGCUGCACUGCUGAUGGAAUGAUCCACGUGCCAUAAGAGGCACGCCACUGUCCCCUGCCACCUUGCCGGCUUCCCAGCCAGCGGGCUGAGUCCUUCCUCCGCUGGGUGUCCAGGGCCUCCCGGGUCCCCUCUGGCCUCACCCCUCCUUCCAGCCUCACUUGCUACACUCCCUGAGGUCGCCCUGUUCCCCUGCCUCUCAGCCCUGCUGGGUAAGGCCCCAGGCCCUGGCACAUGACUGGUUUUCUGCCUGGAAUGCCCUCCUCUUCUGGUGCCCUGACAAAUCCCCACAUGUCCCAUAGCCUCUGGCCUUUGUCACCCCUCACGAAGAUUCCCUGACUCCCCCAGGCUGGAUUAUUUGUCCCCUCCUUUGCUUUUCAUCUCUGCUCUCCCUGGUGCAGGGGGUGGCCCCACCAACCUGCCAGCUCUAAAUGUACGAGUCGUCUCCCAGUGCAGCGAUGUCCCUUGAAAUCAGCCGGGGGGGAGGAAUGGGCGCACACGGCCUUCAGCCCCCUGCCCCCUGGAGCCUGUGAAACCUUUACCAGCAAUACCCAGAUUCUAGGCUCCCCUGUUUUGCAACGGGCCUGUGUCUGCUCCAGAUGGUGAGGGUGUCAAAGGCAGGGCUGUCCCUUACUGCUCUUUGUAAAGACGGGCCCCCAUCAUGCCUGCUACCUUGUGAGGACAUGCCCCACAGAACGUGUCAUUUUUUUCUUUUUUCUGUGUGUUCUUCUUUUUGCCUUUUCUUGAGCCACUCCCAUGGCAUAUGGAGGUUCCCAGGCUAGGGGUCUAAUCAGAGCUGUAGCCACUGACCUAUGCCACAGCCACGCGGGAUCCGAGCCGCGUCUGCGACCCACACCACAGCUCACAGCAACGCCAGAUCCUUAACCCACUGACCAAGGCCAGGGAUCGAACCUGCAACCUCAUGGGUCCUGGUUGGAUUCAUUAACCACUGCGCCACGACGGGAACUCCCAGAACGCAUCAUUUAACUGUGGUCCCAGAUGACCCCGAGGCCACCAUGAUCCUUUGAAAGUCUGACGUGCCCAUGUCAGCUUCCUGCCCAGAAGCCCUUGGUAGCUGCCUUUGCCAAGAGUGCAUAGAGUCCCUCCUGGUGGGAUUUUUCUCUGUUUUAUCAAGGUGGCUCCGGGCUCAGAGCAGGGUCCAGCAUGGAAAGAUGCUUAGAACCAGUCAGUGCUUCAUUGUCAAGGGAAUAAAUGAAUGAUAAAAUUCAAGCUCCUUAAAACAGCCUUCAAGAGCCCUCAUUCAUCGAUUCCGCUCUUUCUCUGUGUCUGGGGCUGCCCCUCCCCUACUAGGAGCCUCCACUUGCAACUCCUGGAGUUAGGAGCUCCCUCCUCCUCCCCUCCGUGUACCCCCACCCAUCAUCGGAGAGGCUCUCAGCUUCUUGGGGCCGUGCUGAUGUGUGCAGAUCUUCCUGUCCCCUCCUGACGUCGGGUCCCAUACAUUGUAGGGCCCCAGGGCGGGUUUGUGGUCCAUAUUUGCCCACAUACAAAACACUGGAGACCAGCAAGAUGCACACAAGCCCCAGCCGUUGCUCUGGCCACUCCCUGGGCUUUAUCUGACUGGCAGUCAUUCACCAAGUGUCACUGGGGUUGGGGAGGGAUGGUUGGUGUCCAGAACGUGAUGGGAGGAGGCCACUGCCUCCAGGGCUUCAUUCAGGUCCCACCAGGGUGGGGGUGGGGCGGGCAUCACCACUUGAUCUUCUGUUCUCUUCCUCCUAGUUCAUGGCCACCUCGCUCCUGGCCAGCUACAGCUGCUUCUGCCAGCCGGUGAACUACAGCUGGAGUGAGCUGGGGUUAAGGGUAUGACAAGGAGUGGGAGGGUUGGGCCUGGAGAGAAGGGUCAUAGGAUGCAUUUCAAAAAAAACCAGAGCUCUAUCCAGGUGUCACCAUUCAAGACUUCGAUGGGAGGCCGUGAUCGGUUCAGUACAGGUUCAGAAGAUCUCACUGUGACUCUCAGCCCUGCCAGUUCCUUGCUGUGUGAUCAUGGGUUGCUUACUUACCUUAUACAGACCUCAAUUUUCUUAUCUAUAAAAUGGGAGAGUACUGCCUACUUUAUAAAAAGAAACAAUAGGAAGAAAAUGUUUGAAAGUAGUUUGCCCUGGGCCUGGCACACGCAAAGUGGUAGCUAAGUGGUAGAUAUCGGUUGUUUUUAUCUGUUCUCUCUUUCAACUGGAAGCAGAACAAAAGGCUUCCUUGCAGCACAAAAAAAUCAAGCUGAGGCUCAGCAAGUCACCAGGCAGUGAUGUGGGUAUUGAAUCAAGGAUCAUUGAACAGCGGGCUCAAGUCUUGCUGCUCAAAGUAUGGUCCACAGACCAGCGGCGUGAGCAUCUCCUGGGGGCUUGUUGGAAAAGUGGAACCUCAUGUUUCACCCCAGGCACGCUGGUUGGGAACCUGCUUUUCAACAAAAACCCUCAGGUGAUCCAUGUGCUGGUCAAGUCAUGGCUCCAGGAGUUCCCUGGUGGCCUAGCAGUUAAGGAUCUAGUGUUGUCACUACUGUGGCUUGAGUCACUGCUAUGGCUUGGGUUCAAUCCCUGGUACCGGUACUUCUGCAUCCUGCGGGUACAGCCAAAAAAGAAAAAAGGCCUGGCUCCAGUUUGGAGAAUCCUUCUGUUAUCAUUCCGAGCAGCUUCUCCCACUAUAUCCUAUGCUAAUGGGCAUUUUUUUUGCAGACAGGUAGGCACUGUGGGAGCAGGGGCUGCAGAGGGACAGUGAGGAUUGGGGCUGAAGUCAGUGUUGCCAGGGCCAGGGGUACCACCAGCAGGGUAGCAGUCUGACUGCAAUUCCCAUCUCUUCCCAGCAGAUGGCGAGCGUGUGCUGAUGGUGCUUCUCAAAGGCCAUUGAAUUACUGGUCGCAGGGAGUAAUUCACAGUGGGUGGUCAUCUUCCUAUCACGAAAGGAGUCAGAGCAAAUGAGCUUCCUGCACGUCUACCACCACAGCACCAUGCUCUUCAGAUAGUGGGCUGGGGUCAAAUAUGUGCCAGGGGUCAAGGGCCAAUGUGUGACCAUUGCUGCCUACUCCUCCUGCAGUCUCUUUGCCAAAGAGUGUCCGUUCCCUGGCAGGCUCAAUGUGACCAUUCUCCUGUUCACCCUCAGUCUCAUCAGCCUUUCCCUUAACUUCUACCACCAGACAUACCUGAGAGGCAAGUGGGAGAAGCUGACCUACAAGGUGGGGCCAAGGACUGAAACUAGCAGAGCCCUCCCCAUGGAGAGUUUGGUGAAAGAUGAUACGGCCCACAGCCCACCCGUGCUGAGCAGAUUCCUCUGGGCAAGUAUUUCAUCCUAUGAGGAAAGGACAAUAACAAUUCUCGCCGCCUUCCCAGAGUUCAGGAGGACAGAACUGGACCCAGCUUCCUGAACGCACAUCUCAUGUGGAUUCGUCACUAUUUGCACACCUCCUUCCUCUACUAAACGUGAGUCCUUCUGAGGAGGGACUGAACUCUCAGUGGUCCCCACCCCUGGCACAGUAUCUCAAUAAAUGUGCAUUUAGACCCCUAUAUUCCCCCAUGGGCAGUCAGGGCUGGGAGCAGGGCUGGGAGCAUGGGGAAGGCAAGGCUGGUUUGAUCUUCCCCUUGCAGGCAGAGAGGAUGGCUGAGAAUAUCUAAUCUAAGGAGUGUGGGUCUGUGUGAUUUCUCUUGGGGCUAUGCCAACAGUUCCCCUGCACAUCUUUCUGUCUGUUCACUAUUACCUAAGGUGCAUUUACACAGUUGUAUGAUUCUGUGUGUAUGGGGCAGCAGAAAGGGCUACUCAUACAUGUCCAAAUACUUUGCUUUUGAAUACACGUGUGUUUCCAUUUAUGAUUUUCUCUGUUGGUGUUUUUUGUUUGUCUCUUCUGUAAAUCUUGGAAAGUGCCAUGCUAGCCAAAUAAAAGCUGCUGGGAUCAUUAACACUUCUGUCCUGAUGGGAAACAUGGAUUCCGUAAGAAAUCUCUGCAUAUAUGGUCCACUGAGAGCUUCCAAAGAGGGAUGUGAGAAAAGGAGGGAUGGGGUGUAAUGAAUGCCGCCAUCCGCUUGCCAGAGGGGGAACUAGGGUCAACCAAAGGGAGCCAACCACAGAGUUGGCAGAAGCAAACCUCUGCUGGGCUGGUUAAGACCAGAACUGGAUGGGUGUCCGGAAUGCAGAUUUCCAGGGAGCUGCCUCUAUGCCUUUGAGCUGCUGCUCCUUCUCCUUUAUAAUCUCUCCCGUUAGCUCUUUCCCUCCAGUAGAGAAGUUCAUAUUUGGUGAUGCCUCCACUGCCAAGAACCUUAAAGACCUGACAAAGGUUUCAUAAGGUUAUUUGGGGACUGUUUAUCCAUCAGGUGCUCUGGUUAAUGAACUCAAGGCCAGGCGGGGCUGCAUCCUGUGGACAGAAUACUCAGAGAAAAUUUCCUCCCAGCUACGCAGGAUGCAAACACAUCCCACACACUCUUCCACAGCAGGUUGAGUGCCUUUGCAGGUGGGGGCCUAUUUUAAGGCAAUCUUUAAACACACACACACACACUCAGAAGUGAGGUCUGUUCACUUGCUUAGCAUCCAGAAUAAGAGACGGCUUAGUCAUCCCAGGGUUCAGAGCUGACACGUGUCCAGUCCUUUGUGGCUGCCUCUCCCUGAUUUAAGUAGCACAAGAGGAAGCAAAAUGUCCUGGGUCACGUCUCAAUGAAACAAGAUUUGGGUGGCAGGGAGAGCCUGGGGGAAGGCAAUGUGGUGGGGAGGGUUUGGGGGGAAAUUCUCAGUGCACUGAAGCUGUCCAUCAUUUUUUUUUUUUAAGUUGCACUUUGUUAUAACAAUGUGACCUGGUUCAGGGGUGCUGUGCAGGGGGCUCUUUCAUGUGGAAAGAGUGUGUGAAAUUAUAAAACAUAAAGUUAUUUGAAUUUGUCAACACACAGCCACAUUCUUAAUUAAGAUGGUAGAAGUUUGGGAGUUCCCGUUGUGGCGCAGCGGAAAUGAAUCUGGCUAGGAACCAUGAGGUUGCGAGUUCGGUCUCUGGCCUCGAUCAUGUCUGUAACAGCACUGGAUUGGGUGUCUUGCGUGGCAAUGAUGGUCAACCUACCUUAGGAUCUACAAACUGUGAAGAAAAUGCUUUCUGUAGCUGAAAAGAGACUGGCCCUGAAUCACCCUAGUGAUGGAGCUGGGCUAGGUCUUGGCUUCCUGACUCCCCGACUGGGGCUCUGCCUCCUCCAGGACUGGGUCAAGGUGAAAGGCAUUUAUUCCCAUAAACAGGGCCAUUUAAGUAUGCAAGUCCUGGAGCUACUCCUAGUGGGAAAGUUGGUAUCGGGUAUCUAUAUCUCCCCCUCCACCCUCAGCCCGCAUCUUCUUCCUCACCCCUCUGCCAGACACACUGCCUCCCCAGUGAUUGAAUUCACCUUUUAGCUCACCGGGUGCCAAACCUCACAUGGGAUCAAGAUGAAAAGAGAGGAAGAAGGAAGAGACGCAGAGGGAAAACAACGUUAAAAGUAGCUUACUUUUUCAAGGAAGAAGGAAAAGGAGUUCCCGCUAUAGCUUAGCAGGUUAAGAACCCGACUGGUAUCCAUGAGAAUGCAGGAUCCAUCCCUGGCCUCCCUCAGCGGGUGAAGGAUCCAGGGUUGCUCU